GUUGAGAAUGAAGUCAUGAAUCACCUUACAAAAAUGUCUUUGACAUUGUUAUAAUCCUUUCUAAUAACCAAAUAAAGAAGACAAAUACAUACAUAACAUGAUGGCUUUCCUAAAAAU